ACCCUGGUCAUCUGGGGAUCCUCUUAAGAUGCAGAUUCUGUUUCAUCAAGUCUGGGAGGAGCCCAAGAGUCUACAAUUCUAACAAGCUCUCAGCCGAUGUAGAC
rnacentral:pre_miRNA from 1 species